UCGAAAGGAACAGAGAAGUUAAAUGAUGGCCAAAAAAGGAACUACCACCAAUCUUCGUGGAUGUGACUGCCUCAGAAAAUACGCACAAGAGAGCAAGGCCAAAAACCCAGAACUGUUGAGGUCAACAAAAUUAAGGAAGCAUGUUGCUACCUUAUGUCAGCUUCUCGACCUGAAUAAUCAGGAACUCGAGCAAGUUGCUCGUUUUAUGGGACACGACAUUGGAGUCCAUUGUGAGUUUUAUCGGGAGACCGAUAAAACUUUCCAAGUGGCCAAGAUUGCCAAACUACUGUUUGCGAUGGAACGUGGGACAGAGUCGCUGAAGGGAAAGAGUCUGCAAACCCUGGAAUCUGUUAUCACUGGAAGAGCACAUGCAGCCACCUCAACCAAAGGUCUGAAAGGUGGCAAAAAGAGAAGACCAGAUCCAGGGAGACGACAGGAAGCUCAAGAUGAAUGAGAAGUGCCACAUUCAGCUGUAGCAACGAGAUCUGAUGAUGAAGAUGAUGGAGGCGGUAACAGUACCAACUUGGACACUGAAAACACAGGCACCUACAAAAGGCCACCGAAGAUGCAGUCAAUUAAAGAAAGAAAUUAUGCUGAUGACGCUGAUGACGACAUGAGUGAUGUUUCUGGCAGUGAAUAUGGCGAUGGAGGGGUGUGCCAUAAGACAGUUAAGAAGACUGUCAAGAAAAAAAAGACAAUGUUGGGAAGACAUGGAUUGGGUGAGUCUCUAACAUUAGCACAAGUGACAUGUUACAGACCUGGCAUUAGUAAGAUUUUUUUUCUUACUCUAAGUCAGGGGUGUCAAACUCAUUUCACUCUGUCAAACUCAGGCCACAUUGGCCUCGGUAGAUGUUAAGUGGGCCGAGCCAUUAAAAUUAUACCGUACUCUGCUAUAAAGAAGCACAAGAACAUUCGGAAAUGUAGAAAUUUAAUGAACAUAUCUUUUUACAAAACAUUUCAUGAAGCACCUUAGAUUUCCUUAGACAAAUGUGCGAUUGACUUUUAUCAUUCACAUAUAUGCAUCGCAACUGAUUGUACAAGGGCACUAAACAAGUAAUUGGUGUUGAAAAAUACAGUGAUGCACUUUUAGAUUAAAGGAGAUUUGUGAAGAAAGGAAUUUUUAAGCCUUGUGCAUAUAAAUUAUAAAUUUAAUCCCUGCCUAUACCUUACAAACUAAAGAGAGU